rnacentral:rRNA from 1 species
AUUGAUUUUAUGCUUGCAUAAAUGAUUUUUGGAUUCGGAGCGAGUGGCGAACUGGUGAGUAACACGUGGGUAACCUGCCCCGAAGCGGGGGAUAACAUUUGGAAACAAGUGCUAACACCGCAUAAUUAGUUGGAACCGCAUGGUUCCAACUUGAAAGAUGGCUCUGCUAUCACUUUGGGAUGGACCCGCGCCGUAUUAGUUAGUUGGUGAGAUAAAAGCCCACCAAGACGAUGAUACGUAGCCGACCUGAGAGGGUAAUCGGCCACAUUGGGACUGAGACACGGCCCAGACUCCUACGGGAGGCAGCAGUAGGGAAUCUUCCACAAUGGACGAAAGUCUGAUGGAGCAACGCCGCGUGAGUGAUGAAGGUUUUCGGAUCGUAAAACUCUGUUGUUAAAGAAGAACAAGUGUUAGAGUAACUGUUAACACUUUGACGGUAUUUAACCAGAAAGCCACGGCUAACUACGUGCCAGCAGCCGCGGUAAUACGUAGGUGGCAAGCGUUGUCCGGAUUUAUUGGGCGUAAAGCGAGCGCAGGCGGUUUUGUAAGUCUGCUGUGAAAGCCCUCAGCUCAACUGAGGAAGUGCAGUGGAAACUACAAAACUUGAGUACAGAAGAGGAAAGUGGAACUCCAUGUGUAGCGGUGAAGUGCGUAGAUAUAUGGAAGAACACCAGUGGCGAAGGCGGCUUUCUGGUCUGUUACUGACGCUGAGGCUCGAAAGCAUGGGUAGCGAACAGGAUUAGAUACCCUGGUAGUCCAUGCCGUAAACGAUGAAUACUAGGUGUUGGAGGGUUUCCGCCCUUCAGUGCCGCAGCUAACGCAUUAAGUAUUCCGCCUGGGGAGUACGACCGCAAGGUUGAAACUCAAAGGAAUUGACGGGGGCCCGCACAAGUGGUGGAGCAUGUGGUUUAAUUCGAUGCUACGCGAAGAACCUUACCAGCUCUUGACAUCUUCUGCCAACCCAAGAGAUUGGGCGUUCCCUUCGGGGACAGAAUGACAGGUGGUGCAUGGUUGUCGUCAGCUCGUGUCGUGAGAUGUUGGGUUAAGUCCCGCAACGAGCGCAACCCUUAUUAUUAGUUGCCAGCAUUUAGUUGGGCACUCUAGUGAGACUGCCGGUGAUAAA